rnacentral:lncRNA from 1 species
UCCUUUCUUCAGUGUACAUGCAUGAUAUUACAUGAUUAAACAUACCAUUUUUAACUUCAUUUAGUUGUCUAUAUUAUGCUCUAUAUGCUAUCACCAACAAAAAUAAUGUUACCUCCGUACCAGGCCUACCAAAUAUCUUAUAUUUUGGUACACAUGUAGUAUUUUUAGCCUGCAAAGCGACUCCUAUGCCCAGUGUGCCAAUAAUGUGUUUGCACCAGUGAAGAGAUAACUUAGGCCGCGCUUGGUAUGGAAACGAUAAACCAAACAGAGCCUUAUUUUUUACAUUGUAAGAAAUACAUCCUGUUUCUUCUCCAUCAUUUAAGUGUGUGGCAUGCUAUCUUUGUUCAUGUUGCUGGCUGUACAUUUUCAGUAUUGUCAGGAUAUAUCUGAUUAUGAUGAUGUUCAGUACUACUUUGGAGCCGCAACUUUUUGGACUGCUUGAUGUUUAUAACCAAUGAGACUACUUUUUUGGUUGUUGGCUGGAGUUAUCACUAUGACUGGAUUUGUUUUCACCCAAGUAGAUUUAUAUGGUCAUCAAAAACCAACGACAGGUCAACACUUGUCAGCAGUUUGCAAUUUGUAUUACAGUAUGCCUAAGCCAAUGGUCAGACGAUGUUGUUUUAGUUAGGAAAUGUAGAAAAUGUGGUCAUGAUUUAUGUAGAUUCGACAGUCCCUUCAAACUGCAGUCUUCAACCUUGAGUGGACCAUCUAACUAUAUGUUUCCUUGUAGAAAAUUGACUAUAUGUUCCAUGAAUUGACUGAUUAUUUUGGCCCGAUCAGAUUAAACUAGGUCUUGAUUUGAAGGUCCAGCUAAGGCAGCUGGUGCUGGUUUAUUUGUUGUAAUACUAACUGUGCUAUUUAGACAGAGACAUGUGGUCUUUCUCAUUCCUCGAAAUUUUCCUUUGCUACCAAGAUUUUCCAUUCUAGGUUGUGGAAAAAUACAUGUAGCAUUCCUUCUACAAGUCGUCAUGAGCUGGGACAUAGAAGAAGAGAGCCGACGAGAAGUCGCACAGCAGUUCGCUCCGGUGUGGCUGCCAAUGGCGUUGCGCAAAGUGCAGAUUACAGGCUAGAUGCGUACGAGUCCGUCCCUACUUCCACGACGUGGAAGCAAAGGAAAUCGAGUCAAUUAGAUAGUAUAUUUGGUUAUGUAAGUUGUCUUUUGUGUAUGCAGUUUUACCAUUAUUUUGUAAAAGCUUUGAGUUUUUGAUAAUGUAAUUGUCUUACUAAUCACACUUUUAAUCUAUUCGUGCCAAGGCUAACAGCCAAGUUAUGCACAAGCUGUUGAUGUUU